CUUGAUGCUACCAAACAAGAUCCAAAUCUCGCUGCGUUGACACAAUAAAAAUUUUAUUUCCUGCAUAUCAUGAUCCAACAGAGUAUUGGCAGUCUUGAAGCACACUGUGGUCAUUAUUAAGGCAAUUUUCCUAACUCUGAAAAGCCUCAAUCCUGCUUGCCUUUGGAGAUUCUCUUGGGGGAACAGAAAAAAGGAAAGAUUAAAGUAAAACCCAGCCUCACUAAUGUUUGCUGCUGGCAAACGAAGAGCGCCCCAGCAAGGAGACCAGGGUCUAGGGAAUAAAAGAAGACUAAAACUGCAAACCUCAUCAUCAAGAAGCUCUCAACCUUGUGACACAUAAACAGACACAUUUCCCCUGCCAAAGUUUCAGAGUUGAGGUUUCAAAUAAGAAAAGGGCAAAGAAAUAAGUUUGGAGCAAACACAUUGUUUCUAUUGAUAAAAUUUUAGAAGGUGAGUGUAAUGUAUUUGGAGUGUAAUGUGUUUGGAAUCCACUCAUUAGGAGUUGAUGAGAGUGGAAUUAAAUUUUUGUGAGAUGGAAUAGUAGCAUCACUUUCUGCCAGUCUUAAAAAUGGGGUUGAUUUAAAAAAGGAAUAAUGCAAAGAACCAAGGGGACUGUCCAUUAGGUGCUCCAAUAAGACUCUGGUUUUACUUCAACAGUAGUGUCCUGAAGAUUAUUGUCAUCAUCUGCCUGCAUUAGACUGUGAGCCACCAGAAGGCAGGGAGUCUCUCUCAUUCAUUUUCAUGCCUAAUACUGACUAAUUGGAUAUAUGACUAUGUUUAAAAGGGAAAAGAACUUUCCCAUUCCUUCUUUAAGCCAUUUUAACAGAAUGCAUUUACGUAGAACUUAUUAAGGCAAAAUUACCAGUGAUUAUCUGUUCAUUAAGAUGUCUACCUGGCAAACACCUUGUUAAUCUAUGAUUUGUAUUGUCCUAGAAAGUAUUAAGAUAACUUAAAACAUAUUGAAUAAUUCAGAAGUUUCACCAGCUCUGAAUGACCUUACCAAUUAGAUUAAAUUAGCGUAAUGUUCAUAUUUACUCUUUUAGAAAAACUUUUAUCUUAGAGAGGAAGUAGGGAAAAGUCUAAGAAUUCACUUACCUUUGGUGUCUUUAGGGUUAAAAAGGGGCUUCAUUAAACUUCUUUUUUUAAAUUAAAAUUUCUUUGAAAUAGUUUUCUGUACCACUUGAGUCCCAUUAUGUAUUUUUUACAUUAGGGCUGAACAAGCUUCUGAAUAUAAAAUCAAACUGGGAUUUGCUUUUGAACAGAAUGAAGGGAAAAACAGAUUUUUUUUCAUGACUGUAUCUGAGUUUAUUAGGAGAAUGUACUUUGAGUUAAAACAAUUUUAGUAAGAAUUAAAGACAAGGUGCCCCAUUUUAUUGAAUAAGGUAGAAUGUGGGACAAAACCCAGUCUUCUUGGUCUGACUUUUAAGGACACCCAGUGUCCAAGUUCAACUCACUUUUCUGGUCUUUCUCUGUCUCCCUAACCAUACCCUCUGUUCUACCCAGACACAUCUACUUACCUUUCCCCAAACUCAUGUGCUUCCUAGCCUCUUACCCCUACCCCUCACAGCCCACUGAAUUCCUCACCCAGUGCCAGGAUUUAACAUUCAGAAAAAAUCCUACCAUCCUCUGGGAAGUAUUCUCCUCUCUCUCUAGGUCCCAUGUGGAAAUGAUUCCUCCACCCAUACUUCUUUUUAAAUUAAUAGUUAUUGAGUGAUUACUCCAGGCCAUUCACUGUGCUAAGAAUUUUAUAGGCAUUAUCAUAAAAAACCUAUGUGGUAGGUAAUGUUAUCAGCCCCAUUUUACAGCUAGAGAAACAAGUUUUGAAUGGCUGUUUAAUUUUUUCAAGAUCAUUAUAGCAAGGAAAUGGCAGAGCCAAGAUGUGAACCCAUUUCCAAGUGAUUCCAGAACCUGAUUUCUCACCCAUCAUAUUAUUCUGUUUCCCCUGACCCUCUCAUAGCACACUUUUAUUUCACAACUCUGUUACUGAAAUAGACUUCCUUUAACUAAAAAUAUAUUUCAUAUUUUUCAUGUUUAUACUGCACAUUUCUCUGAUUUUCAAUUGGACCAUGGAGCUCUUUGAGAGCAAAGAUCAUGUCUUCUUAGUCUUCCCCUUUGGUUUCUAGCACCAUGUCUUUUACAUAAUUAGUAAGUGCUUCCUGAAGAAGUAAAAGUAAAAUAGAUAGAGUAGAACCAAAUGGACUUCCCAAAUCUUGAAGGUCAGAAUUAGCUCCCAAUGUAGGCUAUCUGCUCUCACAGAGUGUUAUAGACUGAAUUUUUGUGUUAUAUAUUGAAGCCCUAACCCCCAAUGUGAUGCCAAUUGGAGAUGGGGCCUUUGAGAAGUACUUAGGGUUAGAUGAGGUCAUGAGGGUGGAACCCUUAUGAUGGGAUUAGUGGCCUUAUAAGAAGAGGAAGAUGGAGGGGAGAGAGAUAUCUUUCUCAUUGCCAUGUGAGGAAACAGUGAGAAGGCCAUCUGCAAGCCAGGAAGAGAUCUCUCACUAGGAACCAAUUGGAGGGCACCUUGAUAUUGGACUUCUAGCCUCCAGAACUGUGAAAAUGAAUGUCUGUUGUUUAACCCCCCCACCCCCGCCAAGUCUAUGGUGUUUUGUGAUAGCAGCCCAAGCAGACUUAGGUACAAAAGUAUAUUAGAAAUGAGAGGUCCUGGGGCGCCUGGGUGGCACAGCGGUUAAGCGUCUGCCUUCGGCUCAGGGCGUGAUC